rnacentral:lncRNA from 1 species
GUCAUUUCCAUGUCCCUCAGGAAACCUGCAUUGCAACUGCAACUAACCCUUACACCAAGCAGUUGGGUGUGUGCGAAGCUCCUAGCCAAGAACAGAAGCUGCAGUGCUUCUCACAGCCAUGAACUGUCACCACAGUCAUAUAACUUGAUGUGAACACUCCUGCCAUCAUCAUAUUGAUUACUAUAUGUCAUUUUGCAAUGAGAAAAGGGCCAAAGAGGAUAAAUGCUGGAAAUGCACUUGUUAACUUGUGGUUCAUAUGAGUAGUCUAGGGGCAUAAAAAUGGAUAAAUGCUGAAAUGUUCUUGGAAUGUUCCAAAAUGAUCUUAAUUUCUACAGAGAGGAAAAGAUAAUGUGCCACUGGACAAGCAUCAGCUAAGGAGAAAUGAGGGUCCAACGAUGAAGAAAAAUGUCUCCUGUGACUAAUGCCAUUCUGUCCUUCUCACACAACCAUUUUUACAAGAGUGGGAAGGGUAAAAUUACUUCAUUUGCUGUUUUGAUGAAAAGCAGUCUUCUGUCCUCAGAGUUCUCAAGCUUACAUUGCAGAAGCCCCUGUCUUCCACACAGGGUGACGGGAAGCUCCAAUUCAUGGAUGGGCCACAGCCUACAUGAUUCUACCGAGCAGAGUCUGCUUGUGACACUUCCAGGCUCCUGAGUCACAAAGUCAGCUGUAGUUUAUCCGAGAGAGUUAUAAUGCUGGAACCCUUAAAUCGGUUAGAUUUAUUGCUGAGAGCUCUUGGAUCCUUGACUAUGCGGAUAAAUAGGUAAUAAAACUUCAGUAGAAAGACUUCAGCCUGUUCACUGCAGAAGGCUAAUGUCACAAUCAUCUGCUCUUCUAAUCUCAACAGCGUUACAUAGAAAUGUACGCACAGAUAAUGGGUAGAUAUACCUUGACUGAGGCAAUUUCUCAGGCAUACGUAGGUUUCUAGUCUGGGCAGAAAACUAGUUGACUUGAAUUUCCCAGUGAAAAACUCCCCUGUCUGCUGCAGACCAACAUCCUGGGGAGAUGAGGACUGUCUGGACAGGUGGCUUAUCACAACGCAGCAUCAACAUCCAGAUGUCAUCAGAUUCAUAAACAGUCUCCAUCUGCAUGGUUUUGCUAAGUGUUGCUGGAAAGACAAGGGAAGAAACCUGCAAAAUGUUAAGCAAUGCAGGCUAAUAAAGCAGCUGCUUCUGGCCACUUGAGAAAGCUGUGAAAGUCCUUUGAACACACGGUAAUUCUGAAAGGCACCAGCUCACACAGUCGGGCAAAGCUGCAUUCAGAUCCCUGCUAUCAAUGUGAAUGGUGAUUGCUCUAUUUCCUCUUGCUGCUUUUAAAAUCCAUCUCCUCAGCUGUGAUAUUUCUAGUCUUGUGAUUAAUGCUAGAAUAUUACAAGAACAUGGAUGCUCUAAUUCCCUGGCACCAAACCAAACAGUAUUGUUGACUUUUCUGAAGUGCAGUCAUUCUAAACUACUGCUUCCCACUGUAUAUAACUCUAUUCAUGCAUAUGUAAUAUUUCCAGAUUUAAAAUAAUUAUUAUCAAUCUCAAAAUAAAUAUAUAAUCUUCU